GUGCUCUCUUUGGCAGCACAUACAUAUACUAAAACUGGAACAACACAGAGAAGAUUAGCAUGGCCCCUGUGCAAGGAUGACACACAAAUUCGUGAAGCAGUCCAUAUUUUU
ensembl:snRNA U6 U6 spliceosomal RNA